rnacentral:rRNA from 1 species
UAGUCAUACGCUCGUCUCAAAGAUUAAGCCAUGCAUGUGUAAGUAUAAAUAAUUUUACUUUGAAACUGCGAAUGGCUCAUUAUAUCAGUUAUAGUUUAUUAGAAAUAUUUUACUACUUGGAUAACCGUAGUAAUUCUAGGGCUAAUACAUGAGUAAAACCUCAACUUCGGAAGAGGUGUGUUUAUUAGUAUGAAAACCAUAUAUCUUCGGAUAUAAUAGUGAGUAAUAAUAACCUUUCAUAUCGUAUGUCGUAAGAUAACGAUAGUUCUUUCAAGUUUCUGCCCUAUCAGCUUUCGAUGGUAGUAUAUGGGACUACCAUGGCAGUAACGGGUAACGAAGAAUUUGGGUUCGAUUUCGGAGAGGGAGCCUGAGAGAUGGCUACCACAUCCAAGGAAGGCAGCAGGCGCGUAAAUUACCCAAUCCUGACAUAGGGAGGUAGUGACAAUAAAUCACAAUGCGGAACUUUUAGU